AGGGACCACACCCUGCCAAGGAAAACGAAAACCGAGAGCUCAGGAGAGAAGCCACUGUGUACAGAGCACAAGCCUCGAAAUGGUUCUUUAGCUCCUGUCUAAACUUCAGAAAUGUGACUUUCGGGUAGGACAAAGGCUGCUGUAGAGCAAAAUUGGGACAAAUACAUAACAAGGGUCCUCAACCCCCAGGCCGAGGAACCGUACUAGUCCAUGGCCUGUUAAGAACCAGACCACACAGCAGGAGGUGAGUGGUGGCUAAGUGAGCAUUACCGCCUGAGCUCCACCUCCUGUCAGAUCAGCGGUGGCAAUACGUUUUCAUAGGAGCACAAACCCUACUGUGAACUGUGCAUGCGAAGGAUCUAGGUUGCAUACUCCUUAUGAUAAUCUAAUGCCUGAUGAUCUGAGGUGGAACAGUUUCAUUCCAAAACCAUCUCCCCUCGCCCCUGUCCAUGGAAAAAAAUUGUCUUCUAUGAAACCAGUUCCUGGUGCCAAAAAGGUUGGGGACAACUGCUUUAACCAACUGUUUGAUUCCUGUCACCUUCCUUUCUAAUGUUCCCCUGGAAGAAGCGUUCACCCAUUUCAGAGAAUCACGAUUCUCUCAGAACUGGCUUGAUGGACCCCUCACCUCUUUCUCAUGCUCCCAACAUCAGCUCCUGACAUGCUUAGAACAAUGUUCCAUCUCACACGGAGCCAGCAGAAUCUCAUUCUCCAUGGUUACUCAGUUGUCACGCGGGAACUCACCUCCAUGCAGCAGUGGCCUCUGAGUACAUGUCCAGACAAGAUAUCCAAGAGAUCACAAGGAGAGAGGCUCUCAGACAAGAUGAAAAGCUUAAAUCACCCAGCGUAUGAAAUCCAUUGAAAACACACAGCGAGAAGCAGGAAAGAGAGGUGGGGUGGGGUGGGUUCACACACUUAGGAUGGGGUACAAGUGGAUGGAAGGACAACACUGCCUGAACCGAGGGAGAGUGGAGGUGCUGCAUCCACCCACCUUGCCUGCUGAGGGUGCUUCUGAGAUCUGUGCUGAGGUUUGAAGUCCGCAGACGUCUAGAAGGUGCCUGAAGCCAGCAGCGCAUACUUGGCUCCAUUGAAGAUAUGCAGAGACAAAGACACUUGGCCACAGCUGUACUUCUCCAAUUAGCCUGAGGAGCAGCCAUGCAUGGUAUUUGCAUUUCUUGGGCAGAGGACACAUGGCGCUAGAAUGAGUGUCACCAAUGGGUGGCUGAAUAUUGAGUGCCUCGUAUGCUUCAUGUAUAUUUAGGUUAUCAUGAAUAUUUAGUGCCUCAGGUACCUUAAAUAUAUUUAGAGCCUCAUGAAUAUUUUGUGUCUCUUGUAUAUUUAGGACCUCAUGAAU
rnacentral:lncRNA from 1 species